AGCGAAAUACCUUGUGGGGUAAGUUCCCACGCGCAUGAAUAGCGCAACGACUGGGGGACUGUCUCAGCCAAUAGCCCGGUGA
rnacentral:rRNA from 1 species